rnacentral:rRNA from 1 species
UGGGGAAUAUUGGGCAAUGGGCGAAAGCCUGACCCAGCGACGCCGUGUGGGUGAUGAAGGCCUUCGGGUUGUAAAGCCCUGUUGGGUGGAAAGAAGGGUUCAGAGACGAAUAAUCUCUGAGCUUUGACGGUACCACCAGAGAAAGCACCGGCUAACUCCGUGCCAGCAGCCGCGGUAAUACGGAGGGUGCAAGCGUUGUUCGGAAUUACUGGGCGUAAAGGGCGCGUAGGUGGUUGUGUAAGUCAGAUGUGAAAUCCCCAGGCUCAACCUGGGAACUGCAUCUGAUACUGCAUGACUUGAGUGCAGCAGAGGGAAACGGAAUUCCUGGUGUAGAGGUGAAAUUCGUAGAUAUCAGGAGGAACACCGGUGGCGAAGGCGGUUUCCUGGGCUGACACUGACACUGAGGCGCGAAAGCGUGGGUAGCAAACA